rfam:Myotis lucifugus cont2.54584, whole genome shotgun sequence.
GCCAGCGUGGCUCAGUGGUUGAGCGCUGAGCUAUGAACUAGGAGGUCAGGGUUCUAUUCCCUGUUGGGGCA